GCCCUUCUUUACCAGACAGCGCACUACUCUCAAUGAAACAUUCCUGCUGCACCACCAGUUCACAGCUGCACAGACACAGAACAGCGUUGCCACAAGCCAAGAACACUUGGUGUGAAGCCAGGUCCGGUUGAUGGGAUAGAGUUCCGUAAACCAACUAACUCGUGUGCUGAUGGAAUAAGAAGUUCUCUCUACAAAGCACUCAAUGGAUACAUGCCUGACAUGGACCUUCUCCGCGUCUCAGAAACGUAUGCCAACUUUUCUCCACUUACUGCCACUCUUGUGAUAACAAUGGAAAUGUCAGCUGACGUGCCCCUGGUUGAGUCCGCCUUUGGGCCAGUGUAAGCCGGCAGUGUUCUGUCCUAUCAGCUUCCACAGCCAAAGACCCGUGAAAUUGUGAAGAUUGCCGAUGUCACUUAUCCACCAAUACUUCUAUUAGAUGGCUACAGGCUUCAGGCUUCCCAGUGUGCUUACGUCCUUAGCCAUCAGGCGCAGUUCCAGGUCAAGGCAUUAGAGACAACCUACGAGAUGUCACACAAAGUCAAGGUUGCUACAAGGGAGCAGAGCAGCAGCCCGGAAUGGCAUCAGCUCAGGAAAAUGAGAAUAACAUCAUCUCGCUUCCAAGAGGUUUGCCAUGUCCG